rnacentral:rRNA from 1 species
GGGGCCUACGGGAGGCAGCAGUAAGGGAUAUUGCACAAUGGACGGAAGUCUGAUGCAGCGACGCCGCGUGGGUGAAGAAGGUUUUCGGAUCGUAAAGCCCUUUUCUAUGUGACGAGGAAGGACGGUAGCAUAGGAAUAAGUGUCGGCUAACUACGUGCCAGCAGCCGCGGUAAAACGUAGGACGCGAACGUUAUCCGGAGUUACUGGGCGUAAAGCGCGCGUAGGCGGUUGUUUAAGUUACCUAUGAAAGAUACAGGCUAAACUUGUAUUGGUUAGGUGAAACUGGAUAACUAGAGAGAAAUAGAGGGAAGUAGAAUUCCGGGUGUAGUGGUGAAAUGCGUAGAUAUCCGGAGGAAUACCAGUGGCGAAGGCGGCUUCCUGGAUUUCCACUGACGCUGAGGCGCGAAAGCGUGGGUAGCGAACGGGAUUAGAAACCCCGGUAGUCCACGCCGUAAACGAUGUACAUUAG